rnacentral:rRNA from 1 species
UGCAUGGAAUAAUAAAAUAGGACGUGUGGUUCUAUUUUGUUGGUUUCUAGGACCGCCGUAAUAAUUAAUAGGGACAGUCGGGGGCAUCAGUAUUCAAUUGUCAGAGGUGAAAUUCUUGGAUCUAUUGAAGACUAACUACUGCGAAAGCAUUUGCCAAGGAUGUUUUCAUUGAUAAGGAACGAAAGUUAGGGGAUCGAAGACGAUCAGAUACCGUCGUAGUCUUAACUAUAAACUAUGCCGACUAGGGAUCGGACGAUGUUAUCUUUUGACGCGUUCGGCACCUUUCGAGAAAUCAAAGUGCUUGGGCUCCAGGGGGAGUAUGGUCGCAAGGCUGAAACUUAAAGAAAUUGACGGAAGGGCACCACCAGGGGUGGAACCUGCGGCUUAAUUUGACUCAACACGGGGAAACCCACCAGGUCCAGACACAGUGAGGAUUGACAGAUUGAGAGCUCUUUCUUGAUUCUGUGGGUGGUGGUGCAUGGCCGUUCUUAGUUGGUGGAGUGAUUUGUCUGCUUAUUUGCGAUAACGAACGAGACCUUAACCUGCUAAAUAGCCCGUACUGCUUUGGCAGUUCGCUGGCUUCUUAGAGGGACUAUCGGCUCAAGCCGAUGGAAGUUUGAGGCAAUAACAGGUCUGUGAUGCCCUUAGAUGUCCUGGGCCGCACGCGCGUUACACUGACAGAGCCAGCGAGUAUUUCCUUGACCGGAAGGUCCGGGUAAUCUUGUUAAACUCUGUCGUGCUGGGGAUAGAGCAUUGCAAU